AACACUGUUAACCUGCGGUACCUGCGGAGGGAUCAUUACCGAAGUUACUCUUCAUACCCUUUUGUGAACCCUACCAACCUUGCCGCGCGUUGCCUCGGCGGGGAGGUCCGGGAGGGGUUGCCGGGGCCCCGCGCCCCGGUCCCCCCCCUCGGGCCCCCGCCGGCCGCGCCGAACUCUUCAUUUGCAAAGCGGACUGCAUGUUCUGAUUAUAUCUUGAAAACAAGUCAAAACUUUCAACAA
rnacentral:misc_RNA from 1 species